rnacentral:rRNA from 1 species
GUGGAAACACGGUCUUAGUGAUCCGACGGUGCCGCAUGGAAGGGCCGUCGCUCAACGGAUAAAAGUUACUCUAAGGAUAACAGGCUGAUCUCCCCCAAGAGUCCACAUCGACGGGGAGGUUUGGCACCUCGAUGUCGGCUCAUCGCAACCUGGGGCGGAAGUACGUCCCAAGGGUUCGGCUGUUCGCCGAUUAAAGCGGUACGUGAGCUGGGUUCAGAACGUCGUGUCGACGCGGCCG